GCGAAACCUUUACACUGCACGCCAGUGCGAUAAGGGGAUCCCAAGUGCGCAGGCAUAGAGCCUGCGCUUUUGUACACCGUAGGGAGGUGUACGAAUAAGGGCUGGGCAAGACCGGUGCCAGCCGCCGCGGUAAUGCCGGCAGCCCGAGUGAUGGCCGAUCUUAUUGGGCCUAAAGCGUCCGUAGCUGGCCGCGCAAGUCCAUCGGAAAAUCCACCCGCUCAACGGGUGGGCGUCCGGUGGAAACUGCGUGGCUUGGGACCGGAAGGCGCGACGGGUACGUCCGGGGUAGGAGUGAAAUCCCGUAAUCCUGGACGGACCGCCGAUGGCGAAAGCACGUCGCGAGGACGGAUCCGACAGUGAGGGACGAAAGCCAGGGUCUCGAACCGGAUUAGAUACCCGGGUAGUCCUGGCCGUAAACAAUGUCUGUUAGGUGUGGCUCCCACUACGAGUGGGUGCUGUGCCGUAGGGAAGCCGCUAAACAGACCGCCUGGGAAGUACGUCCGCAAGGAUGAAACUUAAAGGAAUUGGCGGGGGAGCACUACAACCGGAGGAGCCUGCGGUUUAAUUGGAAUC
rnacentral:rRNA from 1 species